AAGAUGCGGGUGCCACGAGGGCCAGGCCUCGGCCAAGCCCUGCUGGGGUAAAUCCCAGCAGCCCAGGCUCCAGUCUUGCCUCAGGGGUCCCUCCUUUCCAGCUCUGCCAGCCCCUCAGGGCUGCUGGGCACCCCCCCUUCACCUCCUGAGCACCCCAGGCGCUCAGCCCUCUCCCCCUCCCAUGUCUAGUCCCUCAGGGCUGUCCGGACGGACUGACGUGUGUACCUACCCCCCAUGUGGGUCUCCUGCUCUCCCUUCGUGGGGACACUGGGCAGGCACUGGGCCUUGCCCCAAGCCCCGCCUGCCACCUCACCCACUGCCUCUGCCUCCCUGGGGCAGAGCUGUUCCCAGACGGGUGGGGCGGGGCCCAACUGUCCCCAGCUCCUUCAGCCCUUUCUGUCCCUCCCAGUGAGGCCAGCUGCGGUGAAGAGGGUGCCUUCUUGCCUGGAGUUCCCUCUGCUACGGCUGCCCCCUCCCAGCCCUGGCCCACUGAGCCAGACCCAGCUGUCCCCAUUCCCACUUCUGGUCCUGCCACCUCCUGAGCCACCUUCUCACCUGGUCUGGGUAGAGUAAUGGCCUCGAGCACAGGUGACCAGAGCCAGAUGGUGAAAAACGGACUGAGAACGAAGGUGCUGACGCUGGACAGCAUGAACCCACGUGUGCAGAGGGUGGAGUACGCGGUGCGUGGCCCCAUAGUGCAGCGAGCCUUGGAGCUGGAGCAGGAGCUGCGCCAGGGUGUGAAGAAGCCUUUCACCGAGGUCAUCCGUGCCAACAUUGGGGACGCACAGGCUAUGGGGCAGAGGCCCAUCACCUUCCUGCGCCAGGUGAGGCUCCUGCACUGCCCGCUGCACCCGCCCACCCCCAGCCCAUGUGCCCUGGCCUCAGCACUCCGUCUUCCCAGGUCUUGGCCCUCUGUGUUAACCCUGAUCUUCUGAGCAGCCCCAACUUCCCUGAGGAUGCCAAGAAAAGGGCGGAGCGCAUCCUGCAGGCGUGUGGGGGCCACAGUCUGGGGGCCUACAGCGUCAGCUCCGGCAUCCAGCUAAUCCGGGAAGACGUGGCGCGGUACAUUGAGAGGCGUGAUGGAGGCAUCCCUGCGGACCCCAACAACGUCUUCCUGUCCACAGGGGCCAGCGAUGCCAUCGUGACGGUGCUGAAGCUGCUGGUGGCCGGCGAGGGCUACACGCGCACGGGUGUGCUCAUCCCCAUCCCCCAGUACCCACUCUACUCGGCCACGCUGGCAGAGCUGGGCGCAGUGCAGGUGGAUUACUACCUAGACGAGGAGCGCGCCUGGGCGCUAGACGUGGCGGAGCUUCACCGUGCGCUGUGCCAGGCGCGUGACCACUGCCGCCCUCGUGCGCUCUGUGUCAUCAACCCCGGCAACCCCACCGGGCAGGUGCAGACCCGCGAGUGCAUCGAGGCCGUGAUCCGCUUCGCCUUCGAAGAGCGGCUCUUUCUGCUGGCGGACGAGGUGCGCGGCGCGGGGGAGCGGGAAGCCGGGCAACAGUCCGCCCCCGUGACGCCUUGCGCCCUUCCAGGUGUACCAGGACAACGUGUACGCCGCGGGCUCGCAGUUCCACUCAUUCAAGAAGGUGCUCAUGGAGAUGGGGCCGCCCUACGCCGGGCAGCAGGAGCUUGCCUCCUUCCACUCCACCUCCAAGGGCUACAUGGGCGAGUGCGUGCGUGCGAGGCGGGUGGGGGCUCGCGGGCCAUGGCCUGGCCCUCCUUGCCCGAUGGGCCACCCCCUCCUCCGCACCUGACCUGGACGUGCGCAGGUGCGGGUUCCGCGGCGGCUAUGUGGAGGUGGUGAACAUGGACGCCGCAGUGCAGCAGCAGAUGCUGAAGCUGAUGAGUGUGCGGCUGUGCCCGCCGGUGCCAGGCCAGGCUCUGCUGGACCUGGUGGUCAGCCCACCCGCGCCCACCGACCCCUCCUUCGCGCAGUUCCAGGC
rnacentral:sRNA from 1 species